rnacentral:rRNA from 1 species
CAGCCGCCACGGUAAUACGAAGGGGGCUAGCGUUGUUCGGAAUUACUGGGCGUAAAGCGCACGUAGGCGGAUCGAUCAGUCAGGGGUGAAAGCCCGGAGCUCAACUCCGGAAUUGCCUUUAAGACUGCCGAGCUAGCAGGUGAGAGAGGUAAGUGGAAUUCCGAGUGUAGAGGUGAAAUUCGUAGAUAUUCGGAAGGAACACCUGUGGCGAAAGCGGCUCACUGGACCAUAACUGACGCUGAGGCGCGAAAGCUAGGGGAGCAAACAGGAUUAGAUACCCCAGUAGUCCCUGUCUCUUAUA